rnacentral:rRNA from 1 species
UGGGGAAUUUUGCGCAAUGGGCGAAAGCCUGACGCAGCAACGCCGCGUGGAGGAUGAAGGCCUUCGGGUCGUAAACUCCUGUCAGUGGGGACGAAUGCUUCGCAAGAAGUUUGACUGUACCCGCUGAGGAAGCCACGGCUAACUCCGUGCCAGCAGCCGCGGUAAUACGGAGGUGGCAAGCGUUGUUCGGAAUUACUGGGCGUAAAGGGCGCGUAGGCGGCAUUGCAAGUCAGAUGUGAAAGCCCCGGGCUUAACCCGGGAACUGCAUCUGAAACUGCUUUGCUUGAGUCCUGGAGGGGAUAGUGGAAUUCCCAGUGUAGCGGUGAAAUGCGUAGAUAUUGGGAGGAACACCUGCGGCGAAGGCGGCUAUCUGGACAGUGACUGACGCUGAGGCGCGAAAGCUAGGGGAGCGAACGGG